AACGAACGCUGGCGGCAGGCUUAACACAUGCAAGUCGAACGCCCCGCAAGGGGAGUGGCAGACGGGUGAGUAACGCGUGGGAAUCUACCUAGUUCUACGGAACAACUGAGGGAAACUUCAGCUAAUACCGUAUACGCCCUACGGGGGAAAGAUUUAUCGGAAUUAGAUGAGCCCGCGUUGGAUUAGCUAGUUGGUGGGGUAAUGGCCUACCAAGGCGACGAUCCAUAGCUGGUCUGAGAGGAUGAUCAGCCACACUGGGACUGAGACACGGCCCAGACUCCUACGGGAGGCAGCAGUGGGGAAUAUUGGACAAUGGGCGCAAGCCUGAUCCAGCCAUGCCGCGUGAGUGAUGAAGGCCUUAGGGUUGUAAAGCUCUUUCAGUGGGGAAGAUAAUGACGGUACCCACAGAAGAAGCCCCGGCUAACUUCGUGCCAGCAGCCGCCGCCGUAA
rnacentral:rRNA from 1 species